UUCGCAAUGCCCGAAAGGGUGACGAAGCGACGCCGCGUGCGGGAAGAAGGCCUUCGGGUUGUAAACCGCUGUCGGGAGUUAGGAAAUGCAAGGAUGUUAAUAGCGUCUUUGCUUGACUAAGGCUCCGGAGGAAGCCACGGCUAACUCUGUGCCAGCAGCCGCGGUAAUACAGAGGCGGCAAGCGUUGUUCGGAAUUAUUGGGCGUAAAGAGCACGUAGGCGGCUAUGUAAGUCGGUUGUGAAAGCCUUCCGCUCAACGGGAGAACAGCAUCCGAUACUGCAUGGCUUGAGUGCGGGAGGGGAGAGUGGAACUUCUGGUGGAGCGGUGAAAUGCGUAGAUAUCAGAAGGAACGCCGGCGGCGAAAGCGGCUCUCUGGCCCAUAACUGACGCUGAGUGUGCGGAAGCUAGGGGAGCAAACGGGAUUAGAUACCCCGGUAGUCCUAGCCGUAAACGAUGGGCACUAAGUAGAGGGGUUUU
rnacentral:rRNA from 1 species